rnacentral:rRNA from 1 species
AGAGUUUGAUUCUGGCUCAGAACGAACGCUGGCAGCGUGGAUUAGGCAUGCAAGUCGAACGCGAAACGAGGCGCCCGCAAGGGCAUCUCGCGUAGAGUGGCGUAAGGGUGCGUAAUGCGUGGGUAACCUACCGUCAAGUUGGGGAUAACUCGCCGAAAGGUGAGCUAAUACCGAAUGUGGUCUCUGAACGCAUGUUUGGACGACUAAAGAUGGGGACCGUAAGGCCUGUCGCUUGAUGAGGGGCCCGCGUCCUAUCAGCCUGUUGGUGAGGUAACGGCUCACCAAAGCUUACGGGUAGCUGGUCUUAGAGGAUGGUCAGCCACACUGGGACUGAGACACUGCCAGACUCCUACGGGAGGCUGCAGUCGAGGAUCAUUCGCAAUGCGCGAAAGCGUGACGAUGCGACGCUGCGUGGAGGAUGACGGCCUUCGGGUUGUAAACUCCUGUCAUUCGGGAGCAAUGAUUCCGGUGCGAAUACCAUCGGAAUUUGAUAGUACCGGAAGAGGAAGCGACUGCUAACUCUGUGCCAGCAGCAGCGGUAAGACAGAGGUCGCAAGCGUUGUUCGGAUUUACUGGGCGUAAAGGGUGCGUAGGUGGUGCUGCAUGUCGGAUGUGAAAUCCUACUGCUUAACGGUAGAACUGCAUCCGAAACUGCGGCGCUUGAGUGCAGGAGAGGAAAGCGGAAUUCUUGGUGUAGCGGUGGAAUGCGUUGAUAUCAAGAGGAACACCAGUGGCGAAGGCGGCUUUCUGGAAUGCAACUGACACUGAGGCACGAAAGCUGGGGGAGCAAACAGGAUUAGAUACCCUGGUAGUCCCAGCCCUAAACGGUGUACACUUGGUGUGGGGAGAUUUAACCCUCUCCGUGCCGAAGCUAACGCGUUAAGUGUACCGCCUGGGGAGUACGGCCGCAAGGCUAAAACUCAAAGAAAUUGACGGGGGCCCGCACAAGCGGAGGAGCAUGUGGCUCAAUUCGAUGCAACGCGAAGAACCUUACCAGGGCUUGACAUGUAGCCGCACGCCCGCUGAAAGGCGGGAAGCCUUCGAGGGUGCUACACAGGUGCUGCAUGGCUGUCGUCAGUUCGUGCCGUGAGGUGUUGGGUUAGGUCCCGCAACGAACGCAACCCUUGUGUUCAGUUGCCACCUCCGAUGAUGAGUCGGGGGGCACUCUAGACAGACUGCCCGUGUAAGCGGGAGGAAGGUGGGGAUGACGUCAAGUCAGUAUGGCCUUUAUGCCCUGGGCUGCACACGUGCUACAAUGGUCGGUACAGUGGGAUGCAAUACCGCGAGGUGGAGCCAAUCCAUAAAACCGACCCCAGUUCGGAUUGAAGGCUGCAAUUCGCCUUCAUGAAGCCGGAUUCGCUAGUAAUGGCGCAUCAGCUACGGCGCCGUGAAUACGUUCCCGGGCCUUGUACACACCGCCCGUCACAUCAUGAAAGCCCUCUGCACCUUAAGUCGCUGUACCAACCCGCCUAAUAAGUGGGAGGAAGGCGCCCAAUGUGUGGGGGGUGAUUGGGAUGAAGUCGAAACAAGGUA